CCUACGGGAGGCAGCAGUGGGGAAUAUUGGACAAUGUGGGGAACCCUGAUCCAGCGACGCCGCGUGAGUGAAGAAGUAUUUCGGUAUGUAAAGCUCUAUCAGCAGGGAAGAAAGAAAUGACGGUACCUGACUAAGAAGCCCCGGCUAACUACGUGCCAGCAGCCGCGGUAAUACGUAGGGGGCAAGCGUUAUCCGGAUUUACUGGGUGUAAAGGGAGCGUAGACGGCGAUGCAAGUCUGAAGUGAAAGGCGGGGGCUCAACCCCUGGAAUGCUUUGGAAACUAUGUGGCUGGAGUGCAGGAGAGGUAAGUGGAAUUCCUAGUGUAGCGGUGAAAUGCGUAGAUAUUAGGAGGAACACCAGUGGCGAAGGCGGCUUACUGGACUGUAACUGACGUUGAGGCUCGAAAGCGUGGGGAGCAAACAGGAUUAGAUACCCUUGUAGUC
rnacentral:rRNA from 1 species